AUUUAUUUGACUUGAGUUCGAUAGUGAAAAACUCUUUCUCCACUUUAUAUUACUGCCCUGGCCAAGGUCUUAGAACUCAGUCUAAUAAAUCACAUAGGAUCACUCCUCUUCUAUCAAGGUCGGUAGAUUCCAUGUAAGUACAUACCCUACUCCUACAGUGAACUUACUGCAGCCAAUCUACACUACAAGGACCCAUAUGGCUAGAGACCAUGUAUACGUGUAGUCAAACUACAACAACCUCACUGUGAGUAGCCGAAGCACCGCAGGUCAAAGGACCAGUCAUACUACUGCAACA
rnacentral:lncRNA from 1 species